rnacentral:rRNA from 1 species
AUUGAACGCUGGCGGAAUGCUUUACACAUGCAAGUCGAACGGCAGCACGGGGGCAACCCUGGUGGCGAGUGGCGAACGGGUGAGUAAUACAUCGGAACGUGCCCAGUCGUGGGGGAUAACGUAGCGAAAGCUACGCUAAUACCGCAUACGAUCUCUGGAUGAAAGCGGGGGACCGCAAGGCCUCGCGCGAUUGGAGCGGCCGGAUGGCAGAUUAGGUAGUUGGUAGGGGUAAAGGCUCACCAAGCCGACGAUCUGUAGCUGGUCUGAGAGGACGACCAGCCACACUGGGACUGAGACACGGCCCAGACUCCUACGGGAGGCAGCAGUGGGAAUUUUGGACAAUGGGCGAAAGCCUGAUCCAGCCAUUCCGCGUGCAGGAUGAAGGCCCUCGGGUUGUAAACGUGCUUUUGUACGGAACGAAACGGUCCUGGUUAAUACCUGGGGCUAAUGACGGUACCGUAAGAAUAAG